rnacentral:rRNA from 1 species
GACGAACGCUGGCGGCGUGCCUAAUACAUGCAAGUAGAACGCACAGUUUAUACCGUAGCUUGCUACACCAUAGACUGUGAGUUGCGAACGGGUGAGUAACGCGUAGGUAACCAGCCUGGUAGCGGGGGAUAACUAUUGGAAACGAUAGCUAAUACCGCAUAAUAUUAAUUAUUGCAUGAUAAUUAAUUGAAAGGUGCAAUUGCACCACUACCAGAUGGACCUGCGUUGUAUUAGCUAGUAGGUGAGGUAACGGCUCACCUAGGCGACGAUACAUAGCCGACCUGAGAGGGUGAUCGGCCACACUGGGACUGAGACACGGCCCAGACUCCUACGGGAGGCAGCAGUAGGGAAUCUUCGGCAAUGGACGAAAGUCUGACCGAGCAACGCCGCGUGAGUGAAGAAGGUUUUCGGAUCGUAAAGCUCUGUUGUAAGAGAAGAACGGGUGUGAGAGUGGAAAGUUCACACUGUGACGGUAUCUUACCAGAAAGGGACGGCUAACUACGUG